GUGAGGGUCUUUCUGGCUCAGAGAAAUAAAACAGCACUAUGUUAAAGUGAUUCGCAACAGGAUAAGAAGAAACAGCUGCAGCCUACUCUUCUUGCCUUUGUGCAGUGAAACUGGCAGCAUUUACUGUUGCUGUUAUGCAUUUAUUGUGAAAUUGCUGUACUAGUUGGGAGACAUUGAAUCCUGGCUGACUGUGUACAACUGGCUUCUUUGCUUUGAAUGAAGAAAAAAGUGGACUUAUGGCUUUUUCCUCUUUCUUUCUCUGUCUCCUGUACAUAAUCUCAUUUUCUCUGUGAAGACAACAGAAAGUGAACAAGUAUCUGGGAACAUUAAUCCUGCUUCCAAAGGAAACACUCUUUUCUAUUUUUAAGGAUUAACAACUCAAGAGAUUCCAUAAGCCAUGUGACGUUUUUUGCAGUAUUUGGAUUUUUUUUUCCGUUCUGGGUACAAGAUAAAUUAUUUUUCACCACUGAAGUCCAAAGAUCAUCAUAACUCACUAUAAGGAGAAGGACCAAAAGAACAUUAUCGUACACCUGAACAUCAGUUUGGCUGUCUUGCCAACUGAUUCUGUUUUGCGGAGCACUUCAAGGUGAAUAACAUGCGAGUUUCCACAUAUAAAAGGACAUCAGAAAUGGAAAGGAAGAAUCCCUGCAGACAGGACGAAAACUCUCGAAUUUCUGCAUAAUACAAUGUCUACGCUUCAGUGGGAGAAAGCAGCAUCAGUAUUUGUUUCUUCAGUAUAAAUGAGCUGAUUUUUACCUGCACUCAUCAAACGUCAAGACUGCUACUUUCCUCAUUUUUUUUUUACAACACCAGUUUGUUACAUUUGGUGCUAAUAUGGAAGAAACACACAAACAGUUUAUACACAAUCUUCAGGGAACUUACAUGUGUAUUUAUACAUUUCAUGCGUGAAGUAUAAAAAACAGCCCUUAUCACAGUCUUUUGACAUUUGUUAGCAAAACUCCACAGAGCCUGUCUUCCUCGUAUCUUUGAUAUGCAUAAAGAAAAACUAUUUCAAUUUUAAGCAACACUGAAUACACAGUGGUUCAGAUUAUCACUGCUCGUCAGGAAUGUUGACCCAUUUUUAUUACUUUUAAAAUGAUGAAGCUGACAACAAAACUAAAAUAAGAUUAUUAAUACUUGAAUGAUUGACGGACUUCAAUCACUAGGACGCAAACAUUUGCACAACGAUGGAAAAAGAGGGACAGACACAACUGUAUCUAAUUAUCUCAUGUGAAAAAAUAAAUUUUUUUCUCGUUAAAUCGAUAAAAUGAAUGACAUUUUAAUCAUAACCUGAAUACAGACGUACCAGAAUCAGACUAAAUGAAUAUAAAUAAAUGAAUUUCACUUGUCAGUCCAGCUGUAUAUAUUACAAGAUGAUUUCUGAUUUAUGAUAAAAGUAGAUAACUGAUCUAUAAAUGAGUAUACAAAUUGUAAAACAGGGCUCAAGUUAAUAAGAUGCGGUUCACAAACUGAUAAAACCUAAUUUGUUAGAUAUCCUCCAAAGAGGCCCUGCAUUAUCGAAACUGUGCCUUUUGAAAAAGCUAGUGAAUAAACCAACACAGCAAAAAGGAGAAGUCAUUCAGAUGCUUCUGAAUAUAUAAUUCGUCUUUGAAUACUGAAGCAAGAAAGCUCUGCAAGUAAAUGACAAGUAAUAAAGCGUG